CGGCUAAGUUACAGAACCUAUCAAGCACUGUAUCUCGUUAGCUCUACAAAGUUAAGCUAGAUAUCGCUCAAUCAGUACCAAAGUCGGAGACGGCUUGGGAAUCUUGGGUGCUGUAAUU